CCACGGUAUGAUUCAUGACUGGGGUGAAGUCGUAACAAGGUAACCGUAGGGGAACCUGCGGUUGGAUCACCUCCUUA
rnacentral:rRNA from 1 species